UUAUGGCUCAGGAUGAACGCUAGCUACAGGCUUAACACAUGCAAGUCGAGGGGCAGCAUGGAGUAGCAAUACUUCAGAUGGCGACCGGCGCACGGGUGAGUAACACGUAUCCAACCUGCCGCUUACUCGGGGAUAGCCUUUCGAAAGAAAGAUUAAUACCUCAUAACAUUGCAGUUUCGCAUGGAACAGCAAUUAAAGGAGUAAUCCGCUAUGAGAUGGGCCCGCGGCGCAUUAGCUAGUUGGUGAGGUAAUGGCUCACCAAGGCGACGAUGCGUAGCCGACCUGAGAGGGUGAUCGGCCACAUUGGGACUGAGACACGGCCCAGACUCCUACGGGAGGCAGCAGUGGGGAAUAUUGCACAAUGGGGGAAACCCUGAUGCAAGCAACGCCGCGUGAGUGAUGACGGCCUUCGGGUUGUAAAGCUCUGUCUUCAGGGACGAUAAUGACGGUACCUGAGGAGGAAGCCACGGCUAACUACGUGCCAGCCGCUGC
rnacentral:rRNA from 1 species